GUCAGUGGAAUACAGUCUAAAUUAGCGACAUCGUGGUGUUCCUGCGCAAAGCUCGUCGCAAAAUAAAAGAACAUUUCGCAAUGACUGCAUGACCCACUUCGUGUGGG
rfam:Psychrobacillus sp. FJAT-21963 super1, whole genome shotgun sequence.